UCGGUUGGCCGAGUGGUUAAGGCGUUGGACUUAAGUUCCAAUGGACAAGUGUCCGCGUGGGUUCGAACCCCACACCCAGUA
rnacentral:tRNA from 1 species